UAACACGUGGGUAACCUGCCUGUAAGACUGGGAUAACUCCGGGAAACCGGGGCUAAUACCGGAUGCUUGAUUGAACCGCAUGGUUCAAUCAUAAAAGGCGGCUUCGGCUGCCGUUUACAGAUGGACCCGCGGCGCAUUAGCUAGUUGGUGAGGUAAUGGCUCACCAAGGCGACGAUGCGUAGCCGACCUGAGAGGGUGAUCGGCCACACUGGGACUGAGACACGGCCCAGACUCCUACGGGAGGCAGCAGUAGGGAAUCUUCCGCAAUGGACGAAAGUCUGACGGAGCAACGCCGCGUGAGUGAUGAAGGUUUUCGGAUCGUAAAGCUCUGUUGUUAGGGAAGAACAAGUACCGUUCGAAUAGGGCGGUACCUUGACGGUACCUAACCAGAAAGCCACGGCUAACUACGUGCCAGCAGCCGCGGUAAUACGUAGGUGGCAAGCGUUGUCCGGAAUUAUUGGGCGUAAAGCGCGCGCAGGCGGUUUCUUAAGUCUGAUGUGAAAGCCCCCGGCUCAACCGGGGAGGGUCAUUGGAAACUGGGGAACUUGAGUGCAGAAGAGGAGAGUGGAAUUCCACGUGUAGCGGUGAAAUGCGUAGAGAUGUGGAGGAACACCAGUGGCGAAGGCGACUCUCUGGUCUGUAACUGACGCUGAGGCGCGAAAGCGUGGGGAGCGAACAGGAUUAGAUACCCUGGUAGUCCACGCCGUAAACGAUGAGUGCUAAGUGUUAGAGGGUUUCCGCCCUUUAGUGCUGC
rnacentral:rRNA from 1 species